AGUGAACGCUGGCGGUAUGCCUAACACAUGCAAGUCGAACGGCAGCACAGUAAGAGCUUGCUCUUACGGGUGGCGAGUGGCGGACGGGUGAGGAAUACAUCGGAAUCUACUUUUUCGUGGGGGAUAACGUAGGGAAACUUACGCUAAUACCGCAUACGACCUACGGGUGAAAGCAGGGGAUCUUCGGACCUUGCGCGAUUGAAUGAGCCGAUGUCGGAUUAGCUAGUUGGCGGGGUAAAGGCCCACCAAGGCGAGGAUACAUAGCUGGUCUGAGAGGGUGAGCGGCCACAUUGGGACUGAGACAGGGCACAAACGCAGACGGGAGGCAGCAGUAGGGAAGCGUCGGAAAAGGACGAAAGUAUGACCGAGCAACGCCGCGGGAGGGAAGAAGGGUGUCGGAGCGUAAAACUCGGUGGGUAGAGAAGAAAGGAGGUGAGAGGGGAAAGCUCAGCAAGGGACGGUAACUACCCAGAAAGGGACGGCGAACUACGUG
rnacentral:rRNA from 1 species